GAUGAACGCUGGCGGCGUGCCUAAUACAUGCAAGUCGAGCGAAUGGAUUAAGAGCUUGCUCUUAUGAAGUUAGCGGCGGACGGGUGAGUAACACGUGGGUAACCUGCCCAUAAGACUGGGAUAACUCCGGAAACCGGGGCUAAUACCGGAUAACAUUUUGAAACGCAUGGUUCGAAAUGGAAAGGCGGCUUCGGCUGUCACUUAUGGAUGGACCCGCGUCGCAUUGGCUAGUUGGUGAGGUAACGGCUCACCAAGGCAACGAUGCGUAGCCGACCUGAGAGGGUGAUCGGCCACACUGGGACUGAGACACGGCCCAGACUCCUACGGGAGGCAGCAGUAGGGAAUCUUCCGCAAUGGACGAAAGUCUGACGGAGCAACGCCGCGUGAGUGAUGAAGGCUUUCGGGUCGUAAAACUCUGUCGUUAGGGAAGAACAAGUGCUAGUUGAAUAAGCUGGCACCUUGACGGUACCUAACCAGAAAGCCACGGCUAACUACGUGCCAGCCGCCGCAGUAA
rnacentral:rRNA from 1 species